GAUGAACGCUGACAGAAUGCUUAACACAUGCAAGUCAACUUGAAUUUGGGUUUUUAACUUAGGUUUGGGUGGCGGACGGGUGAGUAACGCGUAAAGAACUUGCCUCACAGCUAGGGACAACAUUUGGAAACGAAUGCUAAUACCUAAUAUUAUGAUAAUAGGGCAUCCUAUAAUUAUGAAAGCUAUAAGCGCUGUGAGAGAGCUUUGCGUCCCAUUAGCUAGUCGGAGAGGUAACGGCUCACCAAGGCGAUGAUGGGUAGCCGGCCUGAGAGGGUGAUCGGCCACAAGGGGACUGAGACACGGCCCUUACUCCUACGGGAGGCAGCAGUGGGGAAUAUUGGACAAUGGACCGAGAGUCUGAUCCAGCAAUUCUGUGUGCACGAUGAAGUUUUUCGGAAUGUAAAGUGCUUUCAGUUGGGAAGAAACAAAUGACGGUACCAACAGAAGAAGUGACGGCUAAAUACGUG
rnacentral:rRNA from 1 species